rnacentral:ncRNA from 1 species
GAUAACAGGUUGAUCUUCCCCAAGAGUUCACAUAGACAGGAAGGUUUCGUACCUCGAUCGACUCUUCACUACCUAAGGCAAUAGUAUGUUCCAAGGGUUGGGUUGUUUACCAAUUAAAGUGGUAAAUGAGCUUGGUUUAGAACGUCAUGAGACAGUUC